rnacentral:rRNA from 1 species
UACGGGGGGGGCAAGCGUUGUUCGGAAUUACUGGGCGUAAAGGGCUUGUAGGUGGCCAACUAAGUCAGACGUGAAAUCCCUCGGCUUAACCGGGGAACUGCGUCUGAUACUGGAUGGCUUGAGUGUGGGAGAGGGAUGCGGAAUUCCAGGUGUAGCGGUGAAAUGCGUAGAGAUGUGGAGGAACACCAGUGGCGAAGGCGACUCUCUGGUCUGUAACUGACGCUGAGGCGCGAAAGCGUGGGGAGCAAACGGG